rnacentral:rRNA from 1 species
AGCGAACGCUGGCGGCAGGCUUAACACAUGCAAGUCGAGCGGGCAUCCUUGUGGUGUCAGCGGCAGACGGGUGAGUAACGCGUGGGAACGUGCCCUUCGGUUCGGAAUAACUCAGGGAAACUUGAGCUAAUACCGGAUACGCCCUUUUGGGGAAAGGUUUACUGCCGAAGGAUCGGCCCGCGUCUGAUUAGCUAGUUGGUGAGGUUAUGGCUCACCAAGGCGACGAUCAGUAGCUGGUCUGAGAGGAUGAUCAGCCACACUGGGACUGAGACACGGCCCAGACUCCUACGGGAGGCAGCAGUGGGGAAUAUUGGACAAUGGGGGCAACCCUGAUCCAGCCAUGCCGCGUGAGUGAUGACGGCCUUAGGGUUGUAAAGCUCUUUUCUCCGGGACGAUAAUGACGGUACCGGAGGAAUAAGCCCCGGCGAACUUCGU